rnacentral:rRNA from 1 species
GGGAUCCGAGUGCCGCGCACUGCGUGGGCUGUCCCCGAGCUAAAAAGCUCGGGUUAGGAAGGACCGGGCAAGACCGGUGCCAGCCGCCGCGGUAACACCGGCGGUCCGAGUGGUGGCCGAGAUUAUUGGGCUAAAGCGUCCGUAGCCUGCCGUGUAAGUCCUUCGGGAAAUCCGGUUGCUCAACCUCCGGAAUUCCGAGGGAAACUGUACGGCUUGGGACCGGGAGAGGCUGUGGGUACGUCUGGGGUAGGGGUGAAAUCCUGUAAUCCUGGACGGACCACCUGUGGCGAAAGCUCACGGCUGGAACGGAUCCGACGGUGAGGGACGAAAGCCAGGGGCACGAACCGGAUUAGAUACCCGGGUAGUCCUGGCCGUAAACGAUGCCCGCUCGGUGCUGGCCGUGGUACGUCCGCGGUCGGUGCCCUAGUGAAGACGUGAAGCGGGCCGCCUGGGAAGUACGUCCGCAAGGAUGAAACUUAAAGGAAUUGGCGGGGGAGCACCACAACGGGAGGAGCCUACGGUUUAAUUGGAUUCAACGCCGGGAACCUCACCGGGGCUGACAGCUGAAUGACGGCCAGCCUGAAGGGCUUGCCUGACUCGCUGAGAGGAGGUGCAUGGCCGCCGCCAGCUCGUACCGUGAGGCGUCCUGUUAAGUCAGGCAACGAGCGAGACCCACGUCCUCAGUUGCCAGCGUUGCCCUUCGGGGUAGACAGGUACACUGAGGAGACUGCCCAUGCUAAACGGGAGGAAGGUGUGGGCGACGGUAGGUCAGUAUGCCCCGAAUGUCCCGGGCUACACGCGGGCUACAAAGGUUCGGACAAAGGGUACCGACGCCGAGAGGCGGAGGCAAUCCCCUAAACCGAGUCGUAGUUCGGAUCGAGGGCUGCAACUCGCCCUCGUGAAGCUGGAUUCCGUAGUAAUCGCGCCUCAAAAUGGCGCGGUGAAUACGUCCCUGCUCCUUGCACACACCGCCCGUCAAACCACCCGAGUAGUGCCUGGGUGAAGCCCUCCUCUUGGAGGGUGAACC